UGAAAAUUCGAUAAACGGUGAGCAAAAAAAACUGUAAGAGAAAUUAAUCGUACAGUUUUUUUUGCUCACCGUUUAUCGCAUUAAAU
rnacentral:pre_miRNA from 1 species